CUAUUUCUAGAGAUAGAAAGUUACUUCGGUACAUCGGUGACAGGUGGUGCAUGGUUGUCGUCAGCUCGUGUCGUGAGAUGUUGGGUUAAGUCCCGCAACGAGCGCAACCCCUAUUGUUAGUUUGCCAUCAUUCAGUUGGGCACUCUAGCGAGACUGCCGGUAAUAAACCGGAGGAAGUGGGGAUGACGUCAAAUCAUCAUGCCCCUUAUGACCUGGGCUACACACGUGCUACAAUGGUUGGUACAACGAGUUGCGAGUCGGUGACGGCGAGCUAAUCUCUUAAAGCCAAUCUCAGUUCGGAUUGUAGGCUGCAACUCGCCUACAUGAAGUCGGAAUCGCUAGUAAUCGCGGAUCAGCACGCCGCGGUGAAUACGUUCCCGGGCCUU
rnacentral:rRNA from 1 species